GUCUAUGGUCUACUGCUAUGGCACCCUGAACAAGCCCACUGUCUGAUCUCAGAAGCUAAGUAGGGUCAGGCCUGGUUAGUACUUGGAUGGGAGGCCACCUAGGAAAACCAGGUGUUGUAGGUA
rnacentral:rRNA from 1 species